GGCCUCUCACCUCGCGGACGUACUAGAUUUAUAAUCGGAAGUGGUGGCUACCUGGCUCUCACGGGUAACAGGGAAUUAGGGUUCGAUUCUGGAGAAGGAGCCUGAGAAACGGCUACUACAUCUACGGAAGGCAGCAGGCGCGUAAAUUACCCAAUCCUGACUCAGGGAGGUGGUGACAAGAUAUAACAACGCGGUUAUUAUCGCGACACGUAGUGAGGGUAUUCUAAACAGAACCUAUAGUACGAUUAGAGGGCAAGUCUGGUGCCAGCAGCCUCGGAUGGUCCAUGUCCUAAUAGCGUAUAUUAAAGUUGCUGCAGUUAAAAAGCUCGUAGUUCGAUUUCAAGGAUUGUAAACCCCUCCGGGAAUACAUCCUACUAGUCUUCGGACUGUUACUGUGAGAAAAUUAGAGUGUUUCAAGCAGGCUUUCGCAAGAAUACAUUAGCAUGGAAUAACGAAUGUAUUUAGAAUCUUGGUUAAUUCUAAUUACGAUUAAUAGAGACAGUUGGGGGCAUUAGUAUUUAAUUGUCAGAGGUGAAUUCUUGGAUUUGUUAAGACUACGUAUGCGAAGCAUUUGCCAGAUGUUUCAUAUCAGACGAAGAUAGGGAUCAAGAAAUCAGAUACUGUCGUAGUCUAUCUUAACAUGCCACCAGGAUGGAUGGAAUUCACUUCUCACUAUAGAAUCAACUUUGGUCGGGGGAAUGUCCAGGACAUAAAUAUGGAAGCCAAGGGCGUUACCGACACCACGUUGUACUCUCUGGGGGCGUUAUGUGGCGAAAAAACGGGGGGGGGC
rnacentral:rRNA from 1 species